GAUGAACGCUGGCGGCGUGCUUAACACAUGCAAGUCGAACGAAGUCCAUGGAGCUUGCUCCGGAAGAUUGAGUGGCGAACGGGUGCGUAACACGUGAGAAACCUGCCCCGGACUUUGGGAUAACAGUUGGAAACGACUGCUAAUACCGAAUGUCGUCUUUUUCCCGCAUGGGGAUUUGAUGAAAGGUCCGCCGGUCCGGGAGGGUCUCACGGCCUAUCAGCUUGUUGGAGGGGUAAUGGCUCACCAAGGCAUCGACGGGUAGCUGGUCUGAGAGGAUGAUCAGCCACACUGGGACUGAGACACGGCCCAGACUCCUACGGGAGGCAGCAGUGGGGAAUCUUGCACAAUGGGCGCAAGCCUGAUGCAGCAACGCCGCGUGCGGGAAGAAGGCCUUAGGGUUGUAAACCGCUUUCAGUAGGGAAGAAAAUGACGGUACCUACAGAAGAAGGUGCGGCCAACUACG
rnacentral:rRNA from 1 species